AGAUACACCAGAGCAAGGAUUAGAACAGAUCCAAGUCUCAUUGUCAAAAUCUCUUGAUUCUUGUCUUCUGAAAAUUCUUCACGGCUUUGUUUUCAAUCUUCACUCUUCUUGACUCCAAACUGAAAUUGCUGUGUUUGGAGUGCGACCCUUUUUAUAUAUACUCUCGUAUCUUGGGGGUGGUUUGACUUCAUCCUUGGUCUCGACUCACAAACAAGAAUAAAAAUAGCAUUAGUGUCAGCAUUGUAAUCAUUAAUGUAAUCCUCAUGUUUUCGAGCAUUGAUCAAGUCUUUGUAGUUGCUUCAGCUC